GAUGAACGCUAGCGGCAGGCUUAACACAUGCAAGUCGAGGGGUAUAUCAUUUCGGUGAUAGAGACCGGCGCACGGGUGCGUAACGCGUAUGCAAUCUACCUUUACAGGGGAAUAGCCCAGAGAAAUUUGGAUUAAUGCCCCAUGGUAUUAUGAAAUGGCAUCAUUUUAUAAUUAAAGUUCCAACGGUAAAAGAUGAGCAUGCGUCCCAUUAGUUAGUUGGUAAGGUAACGGCUUACCAAGACGAUGAUGGGUAGGGGUCCUGAGAGGGAGAUCCCCCACACUGGUACUGAGACACGGACCAGACUCCUACGGGAGGCAGCAGUGAGGAAUAUUGGACAAUGGGCGCAAGCCUGAUCCAGCCAUGCCGCGUGCAGGAAGAAGCAUCUAUGGUGUGUAAACUGCUUUUAUACAGGAAGAAACACUCCCUCGUGAGGGAGCUUGACGGUACUGUAAGAAUAAGGACCGGCUAACUCCGUG
rnacentral:rRNA from 1 species